AUGCUUGGGCGUGCCUCCACCCACGCCGGCGUCGGCGGGCGUAUUUCGCCUCACAGUAGGUCGCCGCGACCCGUUGCUUUUGGGGACGUCGAAGGCCCGGACGGAUUGGUACCCUACCGGCUGGGGAUGCGGCUUCGGCUUCUCCUCUUGUCCGGUGGGCGAAACCGCCGGUGUCCUGGCUGCCCUGCGACGGUCGUAGAGACGAGCCCUCCCCUUCGGGGGGGCGGCUCUCGCGGCGUGCAAAAGGUCGGUGAUCCACCCGACCCGUCUUGAAACACGGACCAAGGAGUCUAACAUGUGUGCGAGUCAGUGGGCGCACUAAACCCAGAGGCGUAAUGAAAGUGACACGGGUUCGGCUGUCGCCUCGUGUGGCAGCCGGACUCAGGGCCGAUCCCUCACCGGUUGCCCUCGCCUUCUCUCCCGCGUCUCGGUAAGCCGGGUGAGCUAUUUUCCCCGGCCGCUGCUGCGGGGCGCGGGGGGAGGCGGGGUGCGAUGGUGUCCGUAAAAAAGAGCCUGCUGUUGCAGGGGGGCGCAGGCCCGGGACUUGCCAGGACGCCGCGAGACUGUCACUUUGCUGUGAGGCUCUCGGGCCGAUCAGCGGGUCAUGCGUGCAGUCGGCAAGUACCAUGAGCAGACAUGUUGGGACCCGAAAGAUGGUGAACUAUGCCUGGCCAGGAUGAAGCCAGAGGAAACUCUGGUGGAGGUCCGUAGCGAUUCUGACGUGCAA
rnacentral:rRNA from 1 species